rnacentral:rRNA from 1 species
CCUACGGGUGGCAGCAGUGAGGAAUAUUGGUCAAUGGCCGCAAGUCUGAACCAGCCAAGCCGCGUGAAGGACGACGGCGCCAAGCGUUGUAAACUGCUUUUGUCAAGGGAUAAAAGCAGAUUCGUGUGUCUGACUGAGAGUACUUUAAGAAUAAGCAUCGGCUAACUCCGUGCCAGCAGCCGCGGUAAUACGGAGGAUUCAAGCGUUAUCCGGAUUUAUUGGGUUUAAAGGGUGCGUAGGCGGACCGUUAAGUUAGCGGUGAAAGCCCGGGGCUCAACUCCGGCAGUGCCUCUGAAACUGGCUGUCUUGAGAGGACGAGCGGUAGGCGGAAUG